rnacentral:rRNA from 1 species
UGGGGAAUAUUGCGCAAUGGAGGAAACUCUGACGCAGCCAUGCCGCGUGUGUGAAGAAGGCCUUAGGGUUGUAAAGCACUUUCAAUUGGGAAGAAAGGUUGUACGUUAAUAGCGUGCAGCUGUGACAUUACCUUUAGAAGAAGCACCGGCUAACUCCGUGCCAGCAGCCGCGGUAAUACGGAGGGUGCAAGCGUUAAUCGGAAUUACUGGGCGUAAAGCGCGCGUAGGCGGUUUGUUAAGUCGGAUGUGAAAGCCCUGGGCUCAACCUGGGAACUGCAUUCGAUACUGGCUAACUAGAGUGCGAGAGAGGGAGGUAGAAUUCCAUGUGUAGCGGUGAAAUGCGUAGAUAU